rnacentral:misc_RNA from 1 species
AAGUCGUAACAAGGUUUCCGUAGGUGAACCUGCGGAAGGAUCAUUACUAAUUCAAAAUUAAAUGGUCUAGAAGUUAUCCGAAAGGUUGCUUCUAGUUCCAGAACACCUUGUGAACCGUAUUUAACUGCUUGCCAGUUGCUCUUUCUUUUAGUUAGGCGCUGGCAACGGUAACAAUAAACACUUAACGUUUGUUAGUACAACUUGCUAGUUGAAAAGCUAAGCAUUAACAACUUUUAACAAUGGAUCUCUUGGCUCUU